rnacentral:lncRNA from 1 species
AAGCUGUACCUUCAUUCUUCUGAGGCUGAUCUGCAGGGCUGCUGCUGGAGAAAUACAGGGAACAAAGGAAAGCCUGACUGGUAACCAGAAGAUGGCACAUCAUAAUAAUAUGGAGAGAUAUGUAUCAUCUUGGCUGCUACCUGUGGCAGCAGCUUGUAAUGGAAUUAGUCAUGGCUAGAACUUCAUCAUGAUGAGGUUUGUGGCUAACACACUCUGAAACCAGCUGCAAAGUCUCAGAGGCUGAUAUCUUCUCACCAGGACAGAAGGUCACAGCAGUGCUAUUCGUUUGUACUCGGGUGUAUGGUUGUUCACUGACACUUGCGUCUUCCCUUCAAAACCAGUUUUUCCACUGUUGUUUCUUAAAGAAGAGUAGGCAGUGAAGGAGGCAUCUGACACCUCUGGCAAAACUUGCUAGACAAUUUUAACUGAAUUAACAUGUGGGUGUCAUAACUUUUAGUUUAAGCCAUCCUGUGCAGUUAUCUCUAUGUCACAAACUUCUGCUCAAAGGUAGUUCUGCACAGUAACGAUGAUAAGUGCUUAUCUCUUUGUUUUUCUAAGUAUUGUGUGGUACCAUCUGAGAAAAAUCAAAAGCUCUCACCUGUAUGCUUUUGUUGGACUUCCUGUGGGACAGUGAAUUACUUCAGGAAGGUUGGGUACAUGUGUAUCUUCUGAGGCUUCCAUGCGUGCCCUUCCUGAAAUGUACAUGGGCGGAUGACUCGGUACAGUCAAUAUGUGGUACAGAAACCUGACAGACACCCCUGCCUAUGUGUUGGCCUCUCGUCUGCCACCCAGUUCUCCCCUAACAGGAGCUAGAAGUAACAAGUACCUAUUUAAACAUGUUUAGAAAUGUGUGAAAGAAUACAUGCUCUUCUGCUGUUGCAGUAGCAACUGAGCUCUUCAGAAACCUCUGCUCCUAAGUCUUACCGUGGUUGUGAAUUUCAUGUAGUAAAAAUGAGCUCAAUAACAUUCACGUGGUUUUAUGAUGGUUGUUGAUACCAUAGGCUUCUCAAGAAAUUCUAUGCUAUUACUACCUAGAGUACUACAUUAAAGGGAAAAAAGGCUUCCUUCAAUAUAUUUACUUUUCUUCCCCCAGGAAAAGAAAAGCAUAAUUUUGAUUGACAAUUUUAUUGGAAAGUGUGUUUCCAGAACCAUUAUAACUGGUUCAAGUGUCUUGAAGUGCAUUUGGGCUCUCAUAUUCUUGUUGUUGUUGUUGUUGUCUCAUUUUGAGGUUUUUCCCACUGUAUGGAUUUUAUUACUCUGCCUCCUUUUCAAUUCCUGAGUUUUUGUGUUAUCUUUGUAGUUUUUGUCUGAAACAGUGAGAAUUGGAAACAUUAAAAAAAAAGAAC